ensembl:lncRNA
UCCCACUUGCUGGCUGUACAUAAUUUUUGGGGUUUGACCGUGAAACACACACACACACACACACACACACACACAACGUUUGCCUCAGUUUUUUUGCAGCGUUUCGACAUUUUAAUGAGGAGUGACGGUUGUGGCAGUGUCCUCUGUCUGCUGCAAGACCUGAAACCCCCAAUGACCCCCCAGGAGAGAACACAAAAUGUAUGGAAAACUCCCGGCCUGCACAGACUUGGGUUCCGCGUGUGGAAGGCAGUGCGGUUUGGGAUGCGUCUUUGAACUGCUAGUGUGCAAUCUACCGGAUCCCCGUGCUGUUUACCAGGUGGAGCCGAAGAAACCCAAAAAAAACCCCCACAACAAUCACAUCUUGUUUCAGAACGCCGCCGUAAUUGGACCCGCAGGUGGACUUUCGGACUCGGGCCGGGCAGGUGUGCCGCUGGUACAAAGUUCAGGGCCUUCAGCUGGCAACCGGCGGGGGCAGGUCGAAAUCAAGCAAACGCCGACUCAGCUGUCAGGCGGUAGAGUAAAACUGAGCAAUGGGAAUUCGAGGCAGAGAAAGAAAAAAAGCAAGAAGAAAGCAAAGAAACAGGCAGGUGGAGGCAAACCUUGAGCACCACACAGCGCACCGGCGCUCGCGGCUAAUUGGGAGCAGCCGGGCCGGUCGGCGGAGGACGGGGUCAGGUGGUGCAGAGGAGCAGCGGACAGGUGUGGGGAAAGAGGAGGGCGGCGCUCUCCCCUGUCCUGGUGGAGCAACCGGUGAAGGCGAGGCCGCGUGGAAGGACCCAAGGACGGUGCGAUUCGUCACUCGUAUCCCCCGGCCUCUCACACAGUCUCCUGUGACAAUUCUCUGCUCUUUGGUCACUUCGUUUUCUCCCGCAGAAGAUCCGAUGUCGUUCAAAAACCCGUCAAUCCGGAAUUUUGAAAAAUGAGUUUGCACGGCGCGUCCCGAGCGCACGCGGUCGGUUUCUCCAACGCCCCGAGACGAUGUCGCCGUUGUCUACAAAGACGGCUGAUUGCAUUCUGCGAAUAACCCACCACGCGCGCGUGCGUGCGUGCGUGUGCGUGCGUGUGUGUGUGUGUGUUUUGAAGUCAUUUAACCGCGUCAGCAUUGAUUGAUCGAAGGCGCGCGGCCCGGUGAAACCACGUGUUUCACUGAAGCGCUGCCCCUCGCUCCGGUGGGCUGGGAAAUAAAAUCAACAGAUGGAAACAUGGGGGAAAAAAAAUGGAGCCGAGGUGGGAAAGGUGGGCCGACUGGACACGUGGUCAGAUUAAAGCGAGAGCCAUGAUUAUUAUUGCUCUUAACGGUUAUUUGUGUUGUCUUUUUUUCCCACGUAUGCUUUUCCGCAUCACGCAGUGGGAUUAAAAACGGAGGCCCGUGAGAUGCUAAAGAGGCCAUCUGGCCUGAUAAUCGGACUGAGUAGAAUUUAGUUAGUCUAUGUUUGUUGUUUCCUCUUCGUUCUCAUCGUGUGCCUUCAACUCAGAUCCGGUUUCUGCGAGAAACCCUAGCAGCUGCUUUGCACAUCUAACGUGAUAAAUGUUUGAUUGUGACAAGAGUUGGAACAGUGAAACAAAUUAACUAACGUGCUUUUGAUGUGGUUUGUUUUGUUCCCUUGAUCUUUAUUAAGAGAGAGAAGGAGAAGUGUUUCACAAAAUGAAGUAUGAAAUGCCGAAUGGAUACGGGCAUCACUAGAUACGGUCUGAUAUCCAGUUUUUCAUCCUCCACAAAUGCUACACGGCAUUAAAUGGAGCUCGGAAAUGUUGCUCAUGGUUUAUUACGAGUUUACAGCACUGCAUUCCAUGAUGGAUAUUUCAUCUGUUUAAGACGCGGCACAUCGCCUUCCCUACAUUUGACAUUCAGAAGGAAGAAAUCACCUUCCUCGAGGGUCAUGCAUGACGCAAGUUGGGUUUUGACAACAAUAGCCCCCUGCAGGUUUACCCAGAACCAGUCUAGUCUUCUUCUUAUUUAAGCCCCCCCCCGGGGGCAUUAGGAGGCACAGCAGGGAGCCGCCGGCCGUUUUACGGGGAUUUCAGCGCAGCAGUCAGGUGUGAUGUUCACGCUGGACUGAGGGGUCAUAUGAAACUGCCGGGAACCAAUGUCCCUCCUCAGAGGUCCACUAACCACCACAGACCACAGGGGGCACAGCUGCAAACCAACGGAGGGGGGCAAAGCCGGGGUGAUUUGGGAAAUGAAGUUCAAGAUAAACAAAUAUAACGGAUUUUAUUUUUGCUAUCCAGCAGCAUCAAUAGUAGAACGGAAUUUAUUGUGUAUUCGUGCAAACUGUAAAUAUAAGAAGAAGAGAGGAGAACAUGCAUAGUGCAGGAUAUUCGGCUUCGUGUCAUCAUCUAAAUAUUGCCCAGAGUUCUAUUGCAAUAAACACACUCAUUAAAUCUCUUCAACCCAUAACCCCCCCCCCCCUUCCCCCGCCCCACUCUUGGCUCACCACAGCUGGUAUCAACGUUUGCAGCAAUAUAUAUAUUCACUGCGUUGUGUAUAUUCAAUACCUGCGGAGAUCUUUGAAGUCAGUGUGUCACAACAUGGACAGUGUGAACAGCGGGUAUGAAGCGCAGGGUGUGUUUGUGAAGUAGAGGCACUAAUGAGUGCAACGCAUUUGAAAAGGAGGAGUCUUGACUCCUCAGACAAUGAUGUGAUUUCGGGGGCCCCGCCGACACAAACGGCUCCUCGCAGACUUUUCUCUGCACGGCGAGACGAAGCUCAGCCUCUGUUCUCUGCUCCUCUUUUCACACAGGAAGUGGAGCGCUUGUAUUCUCCUCCUAAUUAGAAGGCAGAGAGGAUGAGAUGGAUGGCAGACACAGCAUCUUUCCCCCCAACGGUUAACAAGAUUCAGAAUCAACCAUGUUCACCCGAAGCUGUGAGCAUAGAAUGGGAGGACGAAUAUUUUUGUUUUGGAGAGAGAGUAUUCAAUGUUUGUACUGAAAUUAUGAUUGGAUUUUAAUGUAUUUAAUUCAAAUGCAAGGCAGCAAAAGGUUUUGGUGUAAUUUGUGCAGGUGGUAUUUCAGUCCCGCCCUCCUUGUGAGACAUCGUGUCUUUUGCUUUGACGAUGCUGGUAAACGUAAUUAGUUGAAGCGACGGAUCCUUGAUUUCAGACUUCCGAUCUGCAGCGGACUUUGUGUCCAAACCAAAAGUUCCGUGAGUUCUUUGAAAACGUGUUGAUGGCUUUUGCGUUUGCAUUUUUCUCAAAACCCUAUUUAAAAACAGAGGAGCUCAUAUAUGCGCGCGGAUGAGUUCUACAUCGACAUCGUGCUAAUGGGCUUCUUGCUGUGCAGGUCCCAGGCAGCAUGAUAACCAGGUAAUGAUCCCUGUAGAAGAUGGCAAUAAAGGAGCUGCAUUGUUCUCCAAUCGCAGCGCACAGCCAAUUAGUCCUUGUCUCACGAGUACGAUCCUACAGAGAGAGACAAAAAAGUAGGUUUGUGCGGCAUUGUUUGCUUUUUCAGACUAGCUUUUGUUUCACCAAGUUACACAAUAGGCUGAGGGCUAAACAAUGUGUUUGGAGAAUGUAACUGUUUCUCAGAUCCACAACUAAAUGUGGCACAAAAAGGUGCACGUUGUACCACAAAGCACACGGUGUGAAAAGGGAAGCGUGUGCAUAUUUAGUAUACAGCUUUAUUAUUCUGUAUCAUUUUGUCGGCCAAUAUUGAUACACUUAAAAUUAAAUGAUGAAAGAAGUCAGAUUGGGACAUUUAAAAAAAAAGAGGAACAUCGUAACUCGUUGGGUUGACAUCCUCCAGCUACACACAAAGACACAAACACACACAAAGACCAAGCAGAAAGGACUUUGUCGCCAAAGCUGAGUUUUAGUUACUUCUUUACCGGCUGGAACAAAGUAGUCGGGAGGACAGAAAGAAAUUGCUGAUACUGACUCAAACUUUAUGAACUUUACUCAGUAAUAUUUAUUUUAUUAACAUUUGACAAAAACAAGGAUUGGUUUGAGACCCCUGAUCUAGAAUAUCCUGCAAGGUCUUUGGUCCUGGAGCAACCAUUGUUAUCAUCUCAGCUUCCAUCUUCUUCCCAACAUUUGAGAAUACCCGGAUAUCGUUUGCACCCUUUAGGGUGUCCCUCCUUUGGGGAAACAUGCUGAUCUCAUUUUCACCUCUGUGUACAAUUUGAGAAUUUUCCAAACGCAUGAAAGUCACUCUUCAGAGUUCAAAAAGUAGGGAGGACUUUGAAAAGCAAGGUUGUUCACCCUGAGGAUAUACAACAGAAUCAUCUGCUCCUCUGGUGUAAACUUGCGUUCAUCUCUGACAUGAACUCAUGUUC